rnacentral:lncRNA from 10 species
UUUCGGCCUUGUGACUCCACCCAGAUGUCGUCGGACUUCUGACCUGUAGAACCAUGAGCUAAUAAACAGGUGUUGUGUUAAGCCCUUGACUUUGUGAUGAUUUGUUGAGCUUGCUGGACGUGCGCUGUGGGGAUGCGUGGGUGCACGUCGUCAUCCAUGGAGGCUUUGCUGCUGGAAUACAAAUGAGGCCAUAUUGACAUUUAUGCCCAGACUCAAAGGCCCCCACCGGCUCUUCUGAAAUGGAUCCAAACUUUUUCUGAAUACUUUUUUGCUCAGGCAUUCCUAAAUAAGCCUAGAGGUGCUUGUACACGUUCACGAAUCAGUCCAGCAUCUGAGCUGUCUGAUAGGUGCCUGUUCCCUUCACUGGUAGAAUAGACCAUCCCCUUUGUAUCUAGACUAUGAUGAUUCCUCAAGAGAAGGAGGAUAUGGAAUCAGGAGUAUCCCACAGAAAAGCUGCCUGGACCCCAAGUGUAACAUCUUACAACUCACCCUUGGAUAAGCCCCUUCCAAUUCACCCCUGGACAAGCCCCUUCCAAUUCACACUUGGGUGAGCCUCUUCCAAUUCACCCUUGGACAAGCCCCUUCCAGUUCACCCUCGGACAGGCCCCUUCCAGUUCACCCUCGGACAGGCCCCUUCCAGUUCACCCUCAGACAGGCCCCUUCCAAUUCACCCUUGGACAGGCCCCUUCCAGUUCACCCUCGGACAAGCCUCCUUUCAAUUAACACUUGGAUGAGCCUCUUUCAAUUCACACUUGGACAAGCUCCUUCCAAUUCACCCUUGGACAAGGUCAUUCCAAUCCACUCCUGGAGAAGCCUCCUUCCAAUUCACACUUGAGUGAGCCUCUUUCAAUUCACCCUUGGACAAGUCCUUUCCAGUUCACACUUGGACAAGCAUCUUUCCAGUUCACACUUGGGUGAGCCUCUUCCAAUUCACCCUUGGACAAGCCCAUUCCAAUUCACCCUUGGACACACACCCUUCCAAUUCACACCUGGGUGAGCUCUUUCAAUCCUUGGACAAGCCCCUUCCAAUUCAUUCAUGGGGAGCCUCUUCCAAUUCACUCUUGGAUAAACCUUUUCCAAUUCACCCUUGGACAGCCCUCCUCCAAUUCACUCUUGAAGAUAUUCUUUCAGUUUACACUCGGGGAGGCCUCUUUCACCAGACACAAAUGGUACCAGGGUUGCUGCAUCCAAAUGGUGUCCCUUAUCACCACUCAGCUGACCCGGAGCCAGCCUUUAGACGGUGGUGUGAACCUUCAGUGCUCAUGGUUCCAGUCUCCCCCAUUUCUUGAGGUGGAUUUCCUCUCAGGAUUCCAGGGUCCUUCCUUUCAAUUCAUCACAUUAGAGAUACCCCAACCCCUCAGGCAUAGUUUCAUAUUUCUGAGCCUGAGGUAAAGGGAGGCAGGGUCUUUGUCCCCUUUCUUUCUGAGGGUAAUCUAUCCCUCUCUAUAUAAAAAUAAUUGGAGCAACUCUGCAGCAUCUGAGCCCCAAAACCGGAUCGUGGAGGGAGACACAGCGUCGGACUCCACAAGGCAGUAGGCGAACACCGCACCUCGAGUCCAUCUGCGUUGCUGCUUGAGGGUAUGGACGAUGUGCGGGAUGGAGGCCCAGAGCUGUUCAUCCCUGCAACCAAUGUUCACGCAACCACCAGGGGGCGAAAGGACUCUAACCCCACACGUAGUGAGUGGUUCCCACGCCACGUUCCAGUAGGAGAAAUGAAGUUCCCGGGGACGGAAGAAGAUGGCAGUCACCUGGUGUGCCCAGCAUGUUUGACCCCCCGAGCAGCUUAUGUUUCAACACCUCUCUCUAUAUAAGAUAGGAUUACUUGCUAUGGUGAUUAUAAAAUGAAACAAAUAAUAGUGAUGGCCAGAAAGGAAACAUUACCAGUGAAAAUUUUUCUUUUAUUGAAUUUCAUAAAUAUAAUUAAAAAAACAAAUGAAUAAAAAUAAAGCAAACAUCAUAAUACAAAAAAGGAAAUAAGGCCUGGUUUUUUUCCCAAGAGUCUAAAAAUCUACAUCUUGGUUUCAACUUUGACGCCUUGGUAACAGUUUGGUGUAAUAUUUUGUGCAAAUAAUUGUCCAGUAACCAAUAAGUAGAUGUUAAUCAAACUGAAUCAUCUACAGAAGAUACGGUUUAGGCAACUACUAAAUCAUUUCAUUUUUGUAAAUUUUAUUUGCUCGAUUUACUUUUGUUUUAAAACAAUUGACAAUGACUACAGAAUACACUUCAUUUUCAAGAUAUUAUUUAAAUUCCACCAAUAGUUGACAUAUGAAGUAAACCAAAUAAAAAUAUUACACCUCCAAAGUGUCACUGUCUCACCGCUCUAAAUUGUAAACAAAAGUUAAAACUUCAGCUGGGCACACAACGUGAAAGAGGGGGUCUGUUGUUGUUGCUGCUUUUGUUUUUAAACACAGGGUCUUGCUCUGUCGCUCAGGCUGAAGUGCAGUGGCAUGAUCUUAGCUCAGUGCAGCCUCAAACUCCUGGACUCAAGUGAGUCUUCCCCUUCAGCCUCCUGAAUAACUAGGAUUACAGACGCAUGCCACCACACCUGGUCAAUUUUUAGAAAUUUUUUUGGUAGAGAUUGGGGUCUCAAUAUAUUGCUGAGGCUGGUCAUGAACUCCUGGCUGGUCAUGUACUCCUGGUCUCAAGCAAUCCUCCUGUCUUGGCCUCCCAAAGUGCUGGAAUUACAGGCAUGAGCCACCAGCAUUCUGGUUCUUGGUCUUUGCUUCUCCAUGCUGCCACAACUGGUUGCAAAUCCCCUGUUAGAGGGGUUAUGCAUAGACUGGAGUGGGAGAUCCAAACUGCACCCCACAGCCUUAUCAAACCCCAUCCACAUAACAGGGAGUUCUCUGAAUUACCUUCCAUGCAGAAUACAAUGUUUAGUAAAGUGAGUAGUAACAAAGGUGCUCUGCUGAAGCUUACAUAUAUAUCAUUAAAACAGUGACUACAGCAGUUGUUUUUGACUGAGACCAAAAAUAAAUAAAUAAACAAAUAGAAAACAAGAUUCUUUUUCACGUGGGAGUAUUUUUUAUUAUUGACAUUGUUUAGGAUUGCUGGCAUAUGAUGAUAAUAAAAAGCAGUUG